rnacentral:rRNA from 1 species
CGUUAGCGGCGCGCCUAACACAUGCAAGUCGCACGAGAAAGGGAGCAAUCCCCGGUACAGUGGCGCACGGGUGAGUAACACGUAGAUGACCUUCCCUGGAGUGGUGGAUAACCUGCCGAAAGGCGGGCUAAUACAGCAUGGGACCACAUGGUUUUGACCGAGUGGUGAAAGCGGGCCUCUGUUCACAAGCUCGCGCUCUGGGAUGGGUCUGCGUCCCAUCAGCUAGUUGGUGAGGUAAUGGCUCACCAAGGCAUCGACGGGUAGCUGGUCUGAGAGGAUGACCAGCCACACUGGAACUGAGACACGGUCCAGACUCCUACGGGAGGCAGCAGUGGGGAAUCUUGCGCAAUGGGCGAAAGCCUGACGCAGCGACGCCGCGUGGGUGAUGAAGGCCUUCGGGUUGUAAAGCCCUGUGGGGAGGAACGAACCGUACGGGGGCGAACACCCUCCGUACCUGACGGUACCUCCUUAGCAAGCAUCGGCUAACUCUGUG